AUUUGGCGGACGGGUGAGUAACACGUGAGCAACCUACCUUUUGCAGGGGAAUAACAGUGGGAAACCACUGCUAAUACCGCAUAACAUCACGAGGGGACAUCCUCUUGUGAUCAAAGGAGAAAUCCGGCAGAAGAUGGGCUCGCGUCCGAUUAGUUAGUUGGCGGGGUAACGGCCCACCAAGACCGCGAUCGGUAGCCGAACUGAGAGGUUGAUAGGCCACACUGGGACUGAGACACGGCCCAGACUCCUACGGGAGGCAGCAGUGGGGAAUUUUGGACAAUGGGCGCAAGCCUGAUCCAGCAAUGCCGCGUGCAGGAAGAAGGCCUUCGGGUUGUAAACUGCUUUUGUACGGAACGAAAAGGCUCUGGCUAAUACCUGGAGCUCAUGACGGUACCGUAAGAAUAAGCACCGGCUAACUACGUGCCAGCAGCCGCGGUAAUAAUC
rnacentral:rRNA from 1 species